rnacentral:misc_RNA from 1 species
UCUCCGUAGGUGAACCUGCGGAGGGAUCAUUACAGAGUUCAUGCCCUACCGGGUUGAUCUACCAUACUAUGUUAUUAUUAUGGUGUCGAUUUGGCGGGACGUUAGGCUCCGGCUCCACGACCCGCCCCGGCCGGUAAGUCGCCGUCAGACGUACCGAAAGCCUGAAUCAGAGUGUCGUUUGGGGACUAUAGCAUAGUCAAAACUUUGUAUAACAGAUCUCUUGGUUCUGGCUUCGAUGAAGAACGCAGAUGAUCGGUAGAGCACACGUCGGAAUACAAG